AUUGAACGCUGGCGGCAUGCCUUAUACAUGCAAGUCGAACGGUAACAGGUUAAGCUUACGAGUGUCGAACGGGUGAGUAAUGUAUCGGUACGUGCCCAGUCGUGGGGGAUAACUGCUCGAAAGAGCAGCUAAUACCGCAUACGACCUGAGGGUGAAAGCGGGGGAUCGCAAUACCUCGCGCGAUUGGAGUGGUCGUUAUCAGAUUAGGUAGUUGGUGAGGUAAAGGCUCACCAAGCCGACGAUCUGUAGCUGGUCUGAGAGGACGACCAGCCACACUGGGACUGAGACACGGCCCAGACUCCUACGGGAGGCAGCAGUGGGGAAUUUUGGACAAUGGGCGCAAGCCUGAUCCAGCCAUGCCGCGUGCGGGAAGAAGGCCUUCGGGUUGUAAACCGCCUUUGUCAGGGAAGAAAAGGUUCUGGCUAAUACCUGGGACUCAUGACGGUACCUGAAGAAUAAGCACCGGCUAACUACGUG
rnacentral:rRNA from 1 species